rnacentral:rRNA from 1 species
UACAGAGGGUGCGAACGUUGCUCGGAAUUACUGGGCGUAAAGCGCGUGUAGGCGGGGGCGCAAGUCAGAUGUGAAAUCCCUGGGCUCAACCCAGGAACUGCAUCUGAAACUGCGAUCCUUGAGUACUGGAGAGGGUGGCGGAAUUCCUGGUGUAGAGGUGAAAUUCGUAGAUAUCAGGAGGAACACCGGUGGCGAAGGCGGCCACCUGGACAGUAACUGACGCUGAGACGCGAAAGCGUGGGGAGCAAACAGG